GGGGAUGUAGUUCAGUGGUAGAACGCCUGCUUUGCAUUAACUUGCAGGAUUGCAUGAGGUCCGGGGUUCGAUCCCCCGCGUCUCCA